rnacentral:rRNA from 1 species
AAGUCGUAACAAGGUUUCCGUAGGUGAACCUGCGGAAGGAUCAUUAGAAAAUCUGGCCGCAAAGCCGCUAUUUUGUGCAACGGGCACUUUACAUGUGGAUGUGACGCGAGGACAGCACGAAAGAUACAACUUUCAACAGUGGAUCUCUCGGCUCUUGCAUCGAUGAAGAACGCAGCAAAGUGCGAUAACUAAUGUGAAUCGCAACACUCGUGAAUCAUCAAGUUUUUGAACGCAUAUUGCACCUCUGGGCGACCAGGGGUAUGCCUGUUUGAGAAUUGGAACAACUACACCUGCUUCAGUGUGUGAGAUGAGCGAUCGCCCUGCGUCGCUUGAAACGCCGGCGCCGCGUAGCGAGGCUAUGUCUGUGACGCAUAUUGAGCAUUAUUGCAAACUGGUGCUUCGCAGACUGUUGGGCCCUGCUAGGUGAGUGACAACUGCAGCGCGGCUGCAGAGCCACAUGGACGGCUGCGGCAUCGCCGUGGGCACAUGUGCAAGUGCAUAGCGCACCAACUCAAUCUCAAAUCAGGUAGGAGGACCCGCUGAACUUAA